AAUCAAAGCCAUGCCCUUCAGAUGUGGUUUCCCAAGCCUCCCUUGGUUUCAUGACUGCGAGGGACCUUCUGCAGCCACCUGGGCUGGUACGUGGAUGGGACCCUGUGACUGGAAGCCCCAACCCUGCAAAGGCAGUGAGUGUGCAACGUUGGGGGGCAUGGCCGGCCACACACUUUCCUUAAUGGGAAACAUUGCUCACUUCCAGACUUCCAGAGGCUGGCACCAGGGACUCGAUUGUCACUGAGUAAGCUGUAUGCAGCCCCUGUGCCCACCAUGGCAAGACCCCUGCCGUCACCCACCUGACGGCUGCCCUGGCCCUGCCUCAGGAGGCUCCCUCGCCUCCAGCCACAUGGGGAGUCUAUAAAGAAAUAUGCACAAGCAGCAUCAUUCAGCAGGAUUUCAGACCAGAAAGAACCCUCCCGUCAGAGACUGGUGGCCAUACAAGGGGAUUCCUUUGGUGACGAAUAAGCCAGUUGGUGUGCAGGGUGUUCACUGCAAGGCCCAGACAGGACUACAAGAGACCAGGACUGUCCUCAGUAUGUGAUCUCUCUCUCCUCUGGCGUCAGCUCUACCCAGGAACGGAUGUGAAGGCUGAAGCCCAGGCAAGGGCUCAUAGUGUGGGGACCGUGCAGCUGGAUUCAUGUCCAGUGGAAUUUGACACCAUGGCCGUCAUCAUCAUGUUUUGCCGUCAUCAGCACAGACCUCUGAGCAGAAAUGCCAGAACAAUGUGGGGCCACCCUGGAGAUUUAUUUUAUUUAUUUUUUAAAUUAAAUUAAAAUUGUUUUUAAGAGACGGGGUCUUGCUAUGUUGCACAGGUUGAUCUUGAACUUCUGGGCUCAAGCAAUCCUCCUGUCUUGGCCUCAGAGUGUUGGGAUUACAGACCUAAGCCACCGCGCCCGGCCUGGAGAUGUAUUUUAAACUGACAUCUUGGGAGAAAUAAAAGCCUUCCUUUUCCCUGUGUGUCGGUAGCGUAAGUAGUGAACUGGGAAGGAUUUCUCGGGGCCCCUGCCCUGAGCUCCUAGACCUUCUCUCCCACGCCAUGUUACACAACAAAAUCUGACUCUGAAAGAUCAAUUGGGUCCAGCUUGGGGUCUGAUGGGCAGACGGGCUUAAGCAAAGCCCCCACUUGACUUCAAGAGAGGAGCUUGGGGCCCACAUAGACAUCGAGGCCUGCACAACGUAGCUAAUUGGCCCUAACAUUUUUCUUUCUUGAAUUUUAAAUCCUUUUAGCAACAGAUUAUACAACAAAGGCUGAACUCAUUGGGGCCGUCAUUAGGCUGGCGGAAAACGCUGGCUUGGCUGUUCCUUGGCGAAUCUCCUUACCGGGUUAUUUAGAGGUGCCGUGUGUCUCUCUUGGGGACAUGCACACAAAUGUAAAGAAUGUCUCUGAGCCACAAUGACAUUUUCAUUAGCCGUGGCUCACAGAGGAGCCUUUCCUGGCAGUUCCAAUCCGGAAGGUUCUUAUCCUGCUCUCUGGCUUUCUUGCUCUGGGUGAAAGGCAGGCACCGUAAUCCAAGCCAAACACCCCGACCUUUGACCCCCACAUGGUGCUUGCUGUCAGGGUGGGGGUUCUUCUGGGGUGCAUGUCUGAGGCCUGACUGGGCUGCACACUGUCCCAGAGUGCCCUGCCUUUGGCCAGGACAAUUCACCUCAGCCCCUUUUGUCCCAACAGCUUUUGAUCUUGCCUGCCUGUCACCCAGGGAAAGAGCCUGCCUAGGCCCUGUCCCACACCUGCCUGCAAACUGACAGCCAUGGCUCCCCCAGCCCCACUGCAGCAGCCUUAACCCUUUCUCUGCCUGACCUGCAGGGCCUGCACCUACCUGUCUCCAGGGUGCUGGGGCCUCAGGCUUUGGCCAAACCAGAACAGGACUAGAAAAGAAUUCUUCUGAGGGUCCAAGGCCUCGUCCUACCGCCCCUACUGUGAGUGUGGGACUGACAAAGGAGUUUGGAGAGCAUGAGUCCCCUAGAAUGGAGCUCCCAGGAAAAGCCAAAGAGAAAGCCCCAGGCCACUGGGCCUGGACUUCGCCCCACGGCAAGGUCCCCGCCCACUGGCUAGGCAGGUGCUUUUGUGAAACUGACAUUUUCUCAGCUGCACCUCUACCGCUGCUGAUGAGCUUUUCAAUACACUCUUUCUUGUAUUGAGACAGAGCCAUGUUUUCAUAACUUGGCACUACAGCAAAGAAAGACAUGGGGUCCUUGCUGCUCAGUCCUGGUGCCCGGCCCAGUGUCUGGGGUGCCCACCUUGCCCAGCGUGUGCUGGGCAUGCAGGGGCACUUCCCUAGGGCCAAAACCUGGGAGCUUUCCUCCAGGCCAAGACGCAAGUCUCUUUGUUUUUACGGUAGCUUUGUUGAAAUGUAAUUUACAUACCAUGAAAUUCACCCGUUGAAGGCAUGCAAUUUAGAAGGUUUUAUUCAUAGAGUUGUAUGAAUUCUCUAUUUCCCAAGGCCAUUUUUUUAAAUAUAAG
rnacentral:lncRNA from 1 species